ensembl:lncRNA
AGACCAGCUGCAGUGGCAACAUGGCUGCCCAAGCGAACAAAAAGACACCUAAAUACCUUAUGCUUGUCAGAGAUUCGUCAAAGUCACCGCAAUCACCACCCAGGACAAUUACCCGAUCACAAUCACCGGAGUUCUGAUAACCCGCACCUGCUGUCACCAAUCAAGCCACACUACAAAUACACACACAUCAUAGCCUCUCAGUGUUUGGUCUACCGUUCAUCUCUAUGGACUGUUCUGGACUCUCUCAGCCGAACUUACCGAGAAAGCCUUACCUACGGUUUCUCCUGCAAACCUCCAACGACUCCUUGGAUUCUGAUCCAUGAUCUCCAAUGAACCUGCAUAAGAUACAAACCAUCAGUACUCAGAUAAGAACCCCAGAAACCUUCUCUGUUUUGAUACUCGCCUGCAUUCACUUCACCAUCUUCAUUCAUCUGCAAUCCUGUCAAUAAGGUUCCAAAGAAUAAUGAGGACCUAUAACCAAGGCACACCAACAGAACACAUUUUGGAUGCCCCCCUCAUCUGAGCCAUCCAUUUCAGGUCUUGGAAUCUCUGCUAAUGAGCUGAUGAGUUGAUUCAGUGACAGCAUGGUGAGUCAGCUCCCCUGAAGAGCGCUGGACUUUCCUAGCAUUGCUGUGAUACCCGAGUGCUUUGCAGAAACAGGCAGCACUUCCCAUCAAGCAGCGAUCAGUCAUUUACCCUCACCUGCAGCUCACUGUUCACACACAGGGGCAAAUUUUCUCUGUCCCUGCCUCGCUGUGCCUCACGCCUCUUUCUCAAUUCACCUCGUGCCACGCUGAGCAGUCCGAACAGUGGACGGAGAGGUGCGUGUGUUAUCAGCCCACUGAGAGAUAAUGCCACACAGGGUCUCAUUGUCUUUCACGUGCACUUGUGAGCGGGGAGAUGUGGAAAGAAGGCUGACCUGCACAUUUAGAGCUAAAUAUUCAGGAAUGACACCAUCCAAGGGUUCAUGAUGACAGAAAAGAUGAUGAGUCUCCCAUAAUGAACAGGUUACAUGAGGUUACAUAAAUAGAACAGGUUACAGGUUUGGAUAGGGACAUUUCACCCUAAAUGGAAUGUUUUGUCAUCAUUUACUAACUUUUUUUUUUCUUUUUUCUUUUUUUUUUAGGAUUUUUUUCUUCUGUGGAGCACAUUUGUAGAUGAUUAGUUUUAUGUCUUUUAUUUGUAUGUAAGGUGUCCUUGAGUGUCAUGUAAUAAUACAAUUUGUUAUUAUUAUUAUUAUUAUUAUUAUUAUUAUUAUUAUUAUUAUUAGCAGA